rnacentral:rRNA from 1 species
GAUGAACGCUGGCGGCGUGCCUAAUACAUGCAAGUCGAACGCGCAGCGAAAGGUGCUUGCACCUUUCAAGCGAGUGGCGAACGGGUGAGUAACACGUGGAUAACCUGCCUCAAGGCUGGGGAUAACAUUUGGAAACAGAUGCUAAUACCGAAUAAAACUUAGUAUCGCAUGAUACAAAGUUGAAAGGCGCUACGGCGUCACCUAGAGAUGGGUCCGCGGUGCAUUCGUUAGUUGGUGGGGUAAAGGCCUACCAAGACAAUGAUGCAUAGCCGAGUUGAGAGACUGAUCGGCCACAUUGGGACUGAGACACGGCCCAAACUCCUACGGGAGGCUGCAGUAGGGAAUCUUCCACAAUGGGCGAAAGCCUGAUGGAGCAACGCCGCGUGUGUGAUGAAGGCUUUAGGGUCGUAAAGCACUGUUGUAUGGGAAGAAAUGCUAGGAUAGGGAAUGAUUCUAGUUCGACGGUACCAUACCAGAAAGGGACGGCUAAAUACGUGCCAGCCGCCGCGGUAA